rnacentral:rRNA from 1 species
UUCUAGUUUUAAUAACUAACCACCAACUUCUUUUAUUAAACAAAAACCAAUACAAAAUUAAAAACUAACUUCAUCAAAAACCAAGUCUCUAAGCAAUGGAUGUCUUGGCUCCUCACACGAUGAAGAACGUGGCAUAAUGUGUUAAGUAACCGGAGUUGCAAACAUCAUGACAGGUUAAUCUUUGAAUGCAAAUUGCGCUAAACUCGAUCUCGGUCGAGAAGCAUGGGUGUGACAGUACUACAUCUUUUAUAAUAAUUCUUAUUCUAAGCGAAUAAGUAAAUAAUAUAUAAGACAAACAACACGUAGUCUGCCAUACGCAGGAAGACCCGCUGAACUGAAGCAUCUCAUUAAGCGG